rnacentral:rRNA from 1 species
GGCGCAUAUCAAAAAGCGGAGGAAAAGAAACCAACACGGGUAUUGCCCUAGUAACGGCGAGUGAAGCGGCAACAGCUCAAAUUUGAAAGCUGGCCUUCGGGUCCGCAUUGUAAUUUGUAGAGGAUGCUUUGGGUAAAACGCCAGUCUAAGUUCCUUGGAACAGGACGUCAUAGAGGGUGAGAAUCCCGUAUGUGACUGGAAAUGUUAACCUAUGUAAAGCUCCUUCGACGAGUCGAGUUGUUUGGGAAUGCAGCUCUAAAUGGGAGGUAAAUUUCUUCUAAAGCUAAAUAUUGGCGAGAGACCGAUAGCGCACAAGUAGAGUGAUCGAAAGAUGAAAAGCACUUUGGAAAGAGAGUUAAAAAGCACGUGAAAUUGUUGAAAGGGAAGCGCUUGCAAUCAGACUUGUUUAAACUGUUCGGCCGGUCUUCUGACCGGUUUACUCAGUUUGGACAGGCCAGCAUCAGUUUCGGCGGCCGGAUAAAGGCUCUGGGAAUGUGGCCUCCACUUCGGUGGAGGUGUUAUAGCCCAGUGUGUAAUACGGCCAGCCGGGACUGAGGUCCGCGCUUCGGCUAGGAUGCUGCGUACGUGAAUGGUUGUUAAGCGACCCGUCUUGA